CAGAUUUCAAUAUGGGCCAUCACCUCUGAUCAAUUUCAUUCAAAACUGAAACAAGACAAACGAAAGUGAGAGCUUCACUAUAGAUAACCAAAUCAUUCCGCCAUUCAGCACUCAUAUGGUUUGAGAAAUACCUGGCAGGCAAAAUAAUAGAGAGGUGAGAGGAUCAGCAGUAAACAACAGUAGCAAUUAGCAACAAUACAACCAAUGGAACAGUAAAUUAGGAUCAGUCCACCCAUAUUUGAAUUGAAAUCAAACCCCAAAUACCAAACUAAAAGAUAACCAAAUUUGCCACAGUAAACAGUGAAGCCGUUUGAUUUUUUUUAGAUUUCUUUUUAGAUUUCUAAUUCUCUCUAUGUCUGUGUAUUUUUAGCUCUCUCCUUCUUCAGACUUUCAAAAAUUUGUGCAUAUUCUCAG
rnacentral:lncRNA from 1 species